rnacentral:rRNA from 1 species
GAUGAACGCUGGCGGCGUGCCUAAUACAUGCAAGUCGAACGAACCUACUUUAUGCUUGCUUCUUUGCAGUUAGCGGUGGACGGUUGAGUGACGCGCGGGUCACCAACCCCUAAGCCAGGGAUAACUACGAGAGGCCGGACCCAUUGCCGCAGGUUCUAUUGCCCCAUAUGCUUCGAUACUGCAUGACAGUUUUGCUAUAACUUGUUGUUGUAUCCGCUGCGCAUUGGCGAGUUGGUAGGGUACAGGCUUACCAAGGCAACGAUGCGUAGCCGACCUGAGAGGGUGAUCGGCCACACUGGAACUGAGACACGGCCCAGACUCCUACGGGAGGCAGCAGUAGGGAAUCUUCCGCAAUGGGCGAAAGCCUGAUGGAGCAACGCCGCGUGAGUGAUGAAGGUCUUCGGAUCGUAAAACUCUGUUAUUAGGGAAGAACAUGCGUGUAAGUAACUGUGCACGUCUCGACGGUACCUAAUCAGAAAGCCACGGCUAACUACGUG